UACGUAGGGUGCAAGCGUUAUCCGGAAUUAUUGGGCGUAAAGAGCUCGUAGGCGGUUUGUCGCGUCUGCUGUGAAAACUGGAGGCUCAACCUCCAGCCUGCAGUGGGUACGGGCAAACUAGAGUGCGGUAGGGGAGAUUGGAAUCCCUGGUGUAGCGGUGGAAUGCGCAGAUAUCAGGAGGAACACCGAUGGCGAAGACAGAUCUCUGGGCCGUAACUGACGCUGAGGAGCGAAAGCAUGGGGAGCGAACAGG
rnacentral:rRNA from 1 species